CGAUCGGUAGCCGGACUGAGAGGUUGAACGGCCACAUUGGGACUGAGACACGGCCCAGACUCCUACGGGAGGCAGCAGUGGGGAAUAUUGCACAAUGGGGGAAACCCUGAUGCAGCGACGCCGCGUGGAGGAAGAAGGUCUUCGGAUUGUAAACUCCUGUUGUUGAGGAAGAUAAUGACGGUACUCAACAAGGAAGUGACGGCUAACUACGUGCCAGCAGCCGCGGUAAAACGUAGGUCACAAGCGUUGUCCGGAAUUACUGGGUGUAAAGGGAGCGCAGGCGGGAAGACAAGUUGGAAGUGAAAUCCAUGGGCUUAACCCAUGAACUGCUUUCAAAACUGUUUUUCUUGAGUAGUGCAGAGGUAGGCGGAAUUCCCGGUGUAGCGGUGGAAUGCGUAGAUAUCGGGAGGAACACAGUGGCGAAGGCGGCCUACUGGGCACCAACUGACGCUGAGGCUCGAAAGUGUGGGUAGCAAACAGGAUUAGAUACCCUGGUAGUCCACACUGUAAACGAUGAUUACUAGGUGUUGGAGGAUUGACCCCUUCAGUGCCGCAGUUAACACAAUAAGUAAUCCACCUGGGGAGUACGACCGCAAGGUUGAAACUCAAAGGAAUUGACGGGGGCCCGCACAAGCAGUGGAGUAUGUGGUUUAAUUCGACGCAACGCGAAGAACCUUACCAAGUCUUGACAUCCUGCGACGCACAUAGAAAUAUGUGUUUCCUUCGGGACGCAGAGACAGGUGGUGCAUGGUUGUCGUCAGCUCGUGUCGUGAGAUGUUGGGUUAAGUCCCGCAACGAGCGCAACCCUUAUGGUCAGUUACUACGCAAGAGGACUCUGGCCAGACUGCCGUUGACAAAACGGAGGAAGGUGGGGAUGACGUCAAAUCAUCAUGCCCUUUAUGACUUGGGCUACACACGUACUACAAUGGCGUUAAACAAAGAGAAGCAAGACCGCGAGGUGGAGCAAAACUCAGAAACAACGUCCCAGUUCGGACUGCAGGCUGCAACUCGCCUGCACGAAGUCGGAAUUGCUAGUAAUCGCAGAUCAGCAUGCUGCGGUGAAUACGUUCCCGGGCCUUGUACACACCGCCCGUCACACCAUGAGAGCCGGGGGGACCCGAAGUCGGUAGUCUAACCGCAAGGAGGACGCCGCCGAAGGUAAAACUGGUGAUUGGGGUGAAGUCGUAACAAGGUAGCCGUAGGAGAACCUGCGGCUG
rnacentral:rRNA from 1 species